UACAUACAAAUAAACUUGGUCUGC
rnacentral:siRNA from 1 species